UUGACUGUAAAACAUGCUCGUCUGGAAACACUGCAAUGCAGAGUAGUUCCACCAUUUCAAACUUCAAGACGUGAUGCUCGGCAGUCAGCUACUCUAAUAAACAUGCUGUAGGUGGUUUCUGGUGCACCACCUGGUGAGCUCCUGGAUUUCUUUUGUUUCAUCUCCCAUCAAGAUCAGGCCCAGUACUGCUGAGUCAUCAGUGAACUUGAUGACAACAUUUGAGAUUAAAAUGGAGAACGUGGUUGUAACUCACACUCUAAUGGCUUCCAGAAGGCAUCUCUGGUGUCUCCGGUGUUCGCCGUGGCUAGCUCUCAUCAAGCUGGUUCGAUGCAGAAGCCAGCAUUCUCUUAGGACGUUGGCAGC